rnacentral:misc_RNA from 1 species
GAAAUGCGAUAAGUAAUGUGAAUUGCAGAAUUCAUUGAAUCAUCGAAUCUUUGAACGCAGCUUGCGCUCCUUGGUAUUCCUUGGAGCAUGCCUGUUUGAGUAUCAUGAAAUCUUCAAAGUAAAUCUUUUGUUAACUCAAUUGGUUUCUACUUUGGUAUUGGAGGUCUUUGCAGCUUCACACCUGCUCCUCUUUGUUCAUUAGCUGGAUCUCAGUGUUAUGCUUGGUUCCACUCGGCGUGAUAAGUUAUCUAUCGCUGAGGACACUGUAAAAGGUGGCCAAGGUAAAUGCAGAUGAACCGCUUCUAAUAGUCCAUUGACUUGGACAAUACUUUUAUGAUCUGAUCUCAAAUCAGGUAGGACUACCCGCUGAACUUAAGC